GGCCUUUGUGUUGCCCAUUCACUUUCGGAAACUUGGGAAAGUGGUGUCAAAAAAGCAUAAAUUACAUGCUUUUGCAGCCAUUUUUGCCCUUGAAUUUUGGUUUCUUUGGCGGAGGCACUGCAUAAGAAACAGUU
rnacentral:snoRNA from 15 species